CUUUAGGAACGUUACCAGUCCGAAACGGGGAGGGACUCUUAUAAUCUACACCCGUCACAGCCAGAAGAGGACUGGCCACCCCUCAGAGCCUGCUUCCUCUCUAGGUUUAUAAUCUACACCCGUCACAGCCAGAAGAGGACUGGCCACCCCUCAGAGCCUGCUUCCUCUCUAGAUUUAUAAUCUACACCCGUCACAGCCAGAAGAGGACUGGCCACCCCUCAGAGCCUGCUUCCUCUCUAGGUUUAUAAUCUACACCCGUCACAGCCAGAAGAGGACUGGCCACCCCUCAGAGCCUGCUUCCUCUCUAGGUUUAUAAUCUACACCCGUCACAGCCAGAAGAGGACUGGCCACCCCUCAGAGCCUGGUUUCUCUCUAGGUUUAUAAUCUACACCCGUCACAGCCAGAAGAGGACUGGCCACCCCUCAGAGCCUGCUUCCUCUCUAGGUUUAUAAUCUACACCCGUCACAGCCAGAAGAGGACUGGCCACCCCUCAGAGCCUGCUUCCUCUCUAGGUUUAUAAUCUACACCCGUCACAGCCAGAAGAGGACUGGCCACCCCUCAGAGCCUGCUUCCUCUCUAGGUUUAUAAUCUACACCCGUCACAGCCAGAAGAGGACUGGCCACCCCUCAGAGCCUGCUUCCUCUCUAGGUUUAUAAUCUACACCCGUCACAGCCAGAAGAGGACUGGCCACCCCUCAGAGCCUGCUUCCUCUCUAGGUUUAUAAUCUACACCCGUCACAGCCAGAAGAGGACUGGCCACCCCUCAGAGCCUGCUUCCUCUCUAGGUUUAUUCAAAUGGUUCUGGCCUUUCUAGGGAUUUUUUCCAAGCCACUGUGCUUCUACAUCUGCAUGGCUUGCUGUUUGGGAUUUUAGGCCUGGUUUCUGUUUAAGCACUUAGUGACACCUGCCAAUGUUAAAAGGGCUUUGUAAAUACAUUUGAUUGAUUGAUACCUGAACUUGUCCAAUAUAAAAUGCAUGUAGUUUAUAGGUGGGGUUUCAACUUGCUGAUUAAAGUGUGAAUGCAAGUAUUUUUUAGUGGCAGAAAUAUGACAAUUACUAAUCUAAUUACUAAUUACUAAUCCAAAUUAAAACGUUUUUUCCUGGGUAUUGU